rnacentral:lncRNA from 1 species
CAUACCAUACUGCAUAUUCCAAUUCUUUGAGAGGCCUCUUUUCUUUAGUUUAUUUGUCUUUAAUUCUCUUAUGGCCAUUCAACUUGCCUCUUCUUCUUCCUUGCCUCCUUCAUGGACAUAUGAUGUAUUUUUGAGUUUUAGAGGUGAGGAUACACGCUUUACUUUUACAGAUCAUUUAUACGAGGCCUUGCAUCGUAACAGAAUCGACACCUUCAUUGAUCGCCAUUUUAAAAGAGGAGAAGAAAUAUCACCGGCUUUUCUAAAGGCAAUUGAAGAGUCGAGAAUUUCAAUCAUUGUAAUCUCUGAAAAUUAUGCAUCGUCAAGAUGGUGCUUGGAUGAGCUCGUACAUAUCCUUGAAUGUAGAAGGUCAAGGCAGCAAAUAGUUUGGCCAGUUUUCUACAAGGUGGAUCCGUCCCAUGUACGAAAUCAAACGAGUAGGUUCGGUGACGCAUUUACAGGACUAGAGUGCAAAUACAAGGACGAGGAGAAGAUCCUCUUAUGGAGGAGUGCUCUUAAAGAAGUAGCAAAUUUGUCAGGACAUACUGUCAAAGAGGAAGAGUACGUACAUUUCUUCACUCCUUUUAGUUUGUUUAAUUAUAUGAUUCUGUAUUUCAGGUUUUAGUUUCUACUAAAAUAAUACCUAUUUAGUUGCUAGUUUUUAAAUCCCUAGCACUUAAAAACUGCAGCAAUUCCAUAAUUUUCCAGCUUUGUUGAAUGGCAAGUCUAUAAUUUACAUAUGAAGAAGAUAACUCUUAUCAAUGCUACUAUAUAAAGUUGGAAGCCCAUUUGCGGUCACGGGUUUCACCAUAAAUGAUGGGAUAAAAAUGCUCCUCAAAUAAAAAAGUUCAAAAAAGUCUAAAAUAAUACAUGAAAUAAUGUAGGAAUAUUUUGGUAAUAUAAACAGCAUUUUUUUUAUAAUUAAUUUUUUUGUACAGUUUUAUUUUAUAUUAUUUUUAUAAUUAAUACCAUAAUGUGUUAGUAAUAAUGUGAUUUAAUCAGUUGUUAAUUAAAUAUUAUUUUCUCUAUUUUUAAACAUGUUCAAAACAUCUUAAAAGAUAUGUAAUGCCGGUUAUAAAAAUGAUAUUUCUUGCGUGUAUUAUCUACAUUAAUGAAAAGGGGAUAGAUUUACUCCACACGCGCUACGCGCAUGAAGGCCAGUUUAUGUUAAACCUACAUGACCAUCUUCUUCAUAUAUAAUUAUCGACUUGUCAUUCACCAAAGCUAGCGAAUCAGGGAGUGACUCCUGUUGUUGCGGGCACUCCUCUUUCGUGUAAUACUCUGUCAUUGUUUUUGGGAACUGAUAAACUCACCCCGUUACUCUUAUCUUCCCACACAUUAUUAUUCCAUCCGCCAUACAAAAUUAAAAAAAAUUAAAAAAAAUUAACAUCUUAUUUUCCAACCCCUAUAAUCUACAUAGUCAUUGGUUUUGUUGGAGAGUUGUAGAGAGCAAGAGAUCUGCUUCAUCAAUUCAACUAAUUUAGUUCGAAGCAAAAGAAUUAAAUCGAAAAAGUGGAAGUAAGAAUAUCAGAAACAGUUAAAAAAAAAAUUCGAAUCUGCAAGUAAAGGGGAAGCAGUUUAAGAGGGAGAGCGUACCGGCGAGCUUCUCAGCAUCGAACCAAGAUUCUGAUUCCCCUGUCCUCUCUCUCUCUCUCUCUCUCUCUCUCUCUCUCUUAAAUUGCUCUCCUAAAGCCGAGAUUUGAUUCAAAUGACCUGGAAGCUAUCAAAUUAAAGAUGCAAAAUUGCAACAAAACGUCCAAAAUUUUAAAAUUUGUUGGAAAAAUCCACAAACUGAUGAACAUAUUUGGAAUUGGAGCCCUAGAAAUCACAGAAACGAACCAUGAGAAAUGCUAUCUGUCGGUGGAUUCUUGAACUUCUUCCGCCACCGGAAUAAUGGAUCUUUCUCCCACCGAUCAAAACUUGACUCCAUUAAUUAAUC